UACGUAGGCAGCGAGCGUUGUUCGGAGUUACUGGGCGUAAAGCGUGCGUAGGCGGUUUUGUAAGUUUGGUGUGAAAUCUCCCGGCUCAACUGGGAGGGUGCGCCGAAAACUGCAAGGCUGGAGUAUGGGAGAGGUAGGCGGAAUUCCUGGUGUAGCGGUGAAAUGCGUAGAUAUCUGCAGGAACACCCGUGGCGAAAGCGGCGCGCUGGACCACUACUGACGCUGAAGAACGAAAGCUAGGGGAGCAAACAGG
rnacentral:rRNA from 1 species